CUCAAAGAUGGCAGGACUUGGGAGUGCUAAGACUAGAGGAGAAAGUAUUCAAAAUACAGAGAACAAGAGUUGGAAGAAAAAUGGAGCAGACACAGAGCUUGCAUUUGGGUGGCUGAAGAUUAGUGAUGGCAGCCCUGAGAAGAUUGUUUCUGAUUAGUGGACAACAUAAACAAAAGAAACAGGUCAAAAAGAGGACAAGUUUGGACUACAAUGAUCCAUGGCAACACUGGACUUGAUCAAGUGGAUGGUCCUUGCAUCAGCUUUCCCAGCCUGUGUCCUGAUAAUGAUGCCACUUCCAGUUUGCAGCAUCUAAUGAGUAAGGGUGAAGAGCAGUGGUAUUGGAAUUCUGUUGAAUGAAUUGGGGUCAAGAUUUUAUGCUCUACUAACUGUGAUUCUGAGCAUGUUAUUUUGAGUUUUUUAAGCCUCACUUUUCCUUAUUUUCAAAAUGGGGAGAUGAGAAUUUUUAAGUGAG